UCGGCUCGCCCAUUUUCCCCUAUACACACCGAGCACACAUAUUGUAGCCAAUCCCACAAUCAGCUGUCAAGGGGAUUACCUAAAGCCUGCAAGAGGUGUUCCUACAAUAAACUGUCAGUGUAUUGGUGAUGACGAUGGUGGUGGUGGGUUAGUUGAGCAUUUAAACGCAGAUAUCAUCUGGGUGUCCAUUUAAACCGCAAGUACAAACGCAGGCUAUCGCAGGAUCAUCGUAUUCACCUCGAUGCUGCAAAGACUGAAGCACAGAGAAACGUCAAGCUUGAAGAUACAAAACGCUGAAGUAGCACCACACCUUUCCACGUUUAUGUGAGCCUGUAGCUGAUGUGCUGGCAUACACGCUGCGUUAGAAAAUGCGCACCCGUGCUCUUUUUUCAGUCGAUGGCAAAUGAUGUCAGUGCGGUGGAGACAACGGAGGAACCACAACUUUAACAACUGCUGCUGAGCUUACAUCGCUCGUUGUCUAUUCUGUUUCUAAAACGAUAUAUGUUGCACAAGCCGUUGUGUGGUCGAUUUAUAAGAGCGUUUUGUUUGGUGUAAGUUGGAGAAUGUGGAUACUGUAGGACAUCUCUUAAAGGAUCCGUAAUGCUGUCCAGCCGGGCCGUUAGUCGAGCCUGACACCGCCGCGAUGCUUCCGGGGUCCAUUCAGAUCACGGGAGAGGCGCUGUCCGGAGCUGAAAUCAAGGAUAUAUGCGAGAGCCUGAAGGAGAACAGUGUGAGACUUCUGUCUGUACGGGGCUGUCAGCUGUCCGAUCGAGACUUCGGCCGUGUGUGUCGUGGUGUGGCGGAGUCUCACUCACUGGCUCAGUUGAACCUGAACCUCGGCGUGGUGUCCACCAUCAACCGGACGAAACAGCUGACAGAUGCGCUGAAGGCUAACAGAUCCAUACAGACCCUCUUUCUACACGGGACUCCGCUUUUAGAUGCAGGACUGGUCACCCUGAAUGGAGCCCUUUCCACUCACCCCUCACUCGUGUCCUUGGACCUGGGGGACUGCAUGCUGGGAGAUGAGGCUGUCCGUCUCAUAUGUGGCAUGCUGCCUCCAGACGGAGCCAAAUCGGGGCUAAAGGAGCUGACACUGAGUGCAAACCCAGCCAUCAGCACUCAGGGUUGGGCUCGACUGGCCGUCGCAGUCGCUCACAGCUCACAGUUACGGGUCCUCAACCUUGACUACAAUCCAUUGGGGGAUCAAAUCGCUGGGAUGUUGGCCGUCGCUGUUGCGUCCAGCAGAACUCUGGAAGUUCUGGAUUUGGAAGGAACUGGACUCACCAAUCAGUCAGCACAGGUCUUCCUUGACAUGGUUGAGAACUACCCCACCUGCCUGCGUGCACUGGUUCUAGCCGAGAACGAUAUCAGCCCUGAGCUGCAGCAGCAAAUCUCUGAUCUGCUUUCAGAAGGAGAGGAGGAGGAAGAUAAAGACGGAGCGGCCCGCGGUAGCUCCGUCAUCCCCCGAGAGAAACCAGCCUGGGUUCCCCACAGCAGUAAGGGCUGACCCAGUCUCAAACUCUCUCAGCCUGUUCUCUUCGCUUCAAGACUGUUUUUCAUUCAGAUUCUCUGCUUCUUCUCUGUACUCUUCCAGCUCCCAGAUGGUCCUGAUGACAUCAGGACUGGGUGAGAGCUUUUUGGCAGAGACAGAGAUGUGAUACAGGAGCUGCCUUUGAUUUGUGCUUGCACUUUUCGUUUACUGCAAGAUCACCAGUUAGUGUGUUAUCUCUCACACUGCAUGACCUGUAGCACUUAGCAGAAGACAGUUGAAAGCUGGAACAAAAACCUUAAAACACCAAGUGACUUAUAAUACGCAAUAGCGAAGUAUUUAUUUUACAGAUGUACAGUCUAUUUAUAAAUGCCUAUUUAACCAAUAACCGUAUGCUCUGAUAGUUCGGCUGUAUAGGGUUGAUGUGAUGGCCUGAUGAC